rnacentral:rRNA from 1 species
AUUGAACGCUGGCGGCAUGCUUUACACAUGCAAGUCGAACGGUAACAGCACUUCGGUGGCUGACGAGUGGCGAACGGGUGAGUAAUACAUCGGAACGUGCCUAGUAGUGGGAGAUAACUACUCGAAAGAGUAGCUAAUACCGCAUGAGAUCAAAGGAUGAAAGCAGGGGACCUUCGGGCCUUGCGCUACUAGAGCGGCUGAUGGCAGAUUAGGUAGUUGGUGGGAUAAAAGCUUACCAAGCCGACGAUCUGUAGCUGGUCUGAGAGGACGACCAGCCACACUGGGACUGAGACACGGCCCAGACUCCUACGGGAGGCAGCAGUGGGGAAUUUUGGACAAUGGGCGCAAGCCUGAUCCAGCAAUGCCGCGUGCAGGAUGAAGGCCUUCGGGUUGUAAACUGCUUUUGUACGGAACGAAAAGCCCUCUUCUAAUACAGGAGGGUCAUGACGGUACCGUAAGAAUAAGCACCGACUAACUACGUG